AUUUCAUUUAGCAUGAUAUUUUCCAAUUCCAUCCUUUUUUUAAAAAAAAAUAUUUAUUCUUAAGUUUUAGGUGGACACAGUAUCUUCAUUUUACAUUUAUGUGGUGCUGAGGAUGGAACCCAGUGCCUCAUGCAUGCUAGGCGAGCACUCUACCACUGAACCACAGCACCAGCCCCAAUAUUCUCUCUUUGUAUACCACAAUAGUCUGUUGUGUAUGUAUGCCUCAUUUUCUUUAUCCAUUGAUCUGCUGAAGGGCACCUAGGUUGGUUCUAUAGCUUAGGUAUUGUGAAUUGAGCUGUGUCACUGUAAUAUGCUGAUUUCAAGUCCUGUGAGUAUAAACCAAGCAGUGGUAAUACUGGGGUCAAAUGGUUUCAUUGCUAGUUUUCUGAGGAGUCUCCAUACUGCUUUCUAGUAUGGUUGUACCAAUUUACAGUCCCAUCAGUAAUGUAUAAGUGAACUUUCCCCCCACUCACUUGCUGACAUUUAUUGUUACUUAUAUUCUUGAUAAUUGCCAUUCUGACUGGAGUGAGAUGGAAUUUUAAUAUUUUUUAGUUAUAGACAGAUGCAAUAUCUUUAUUUUCAGUGUAGUUUUAAUUUGCAUUUCUCUAAUUGCUAGAGAUGUUCAACAUUUUUUCAUAUAUUUUUUGACCAUUAGUAUUUCUUCUGUGAAGUGCUUGCUCAGUUCCUUUGUCCAUUUAUUGAUUGGGUUAUUUGUUUUUUGGGUGUUAAGUUUUCCUAUUAGGCGCAGAGUCUCUGGUCUAAUGCUUAGAUCCUUGAUCCACUUUGAGUUUUGUGCAGGAUGAGAGAUAGGAGUUCAAUUUUGUUCUACAUAUGAUUUCCAUUUUUCCUAAAGAGGCUGUCUUUUCUCCAAUGUAUUUUAUGGCGCCUUUAUCUAGUAUGACUGUAUUUAUGUGAGCGUGUCUCCAUAUCUUCUGUUCUGUUGGUCUUAAUAUUUGUUUUUGUGCUAGUACACGCCAUUUUUGUUACUAUAGCUCUGUAGUAUAAUUUAAGGCCUGGUGUUGUGAUGCCUCCUGUAACACUUUUCUUGGUAAGGAUGGCUUUGGCUAUUCUGGGCCUCUUAUUUUUCCAAAUGAAUUUCAUGGCUGCUUUUCCUAUUUCUAUGAAGAACGUCAUUGGAAUUUUAAUAGGAAUUGCAUUAAAUCUGUAUAGUGUUUUUUGGUACUGUGGCCAUUUUGACUAUUAAUUCUGCCUAUCCAAGAACAUAGGAGAUCUUUCCAUUUUCUGAGGUCAUCUUCAAUUUCUUUCUUUAGUGUUCGGUAGUUUUCAUUGUAGAGGUCUUUCACUUUUUAGAACCCAAGGUUUUUGUUUUUGUUUUGAGGCUAUUGUGAAUGGUAUAGUUUUCCUGAUUUCUCUUUCAGCUGAUUGUCAUUGGUGUACAGGAAUGCAAUUGAUUUAUGGGUGUUAGUUUUAUACCCUGCUACUUUGCUGACUUUGUGAGUUCUAGAAGCUUUCUGGUAAAGUUUUUUGGGUCUUCUAAAUAUAGAAUGAUGUUAUCAGCAAAUAAGUAUAGUUUGAGCUUUUUUUUUUUUCUAUUCAUAGCCCUUUAAUUGAAGAGGGUCUGGGUUAGAACUUCUGUCAUAGCUCAUAAGCAAGUGCCGCAGUCUGUCUGUCUGCAGCAAACUAGCGG
rnacentral:lncRNA from 1 species